GGCGAACGCUGGCGGCGUGCCUAAUACAUGCAAGUCGAACGCUUUUUCUUUCACCGGAGCUUGCUCCACCGAAAGAAAAAGAGUGGCGAACGGGUGAGUAACACGUGGGUAACCUGCCCAUCAGAAGGGGAUAACACUUGGAAACAGGUGCUAAUACCGUAUAACACUAUCUUCCGCAUGGAAGAAAGUUGAAAGGCGCUUUUGCGUCACUGAUGGAUGGACCCGCGGUGCAUUAGCUAGUUGGUGAGGUAACGGCUCACCAAGGAAACGAUGCAUAGCCGACCUGAGAGGGUGAUCGGCCACACUGGGACUGAGGCACGGCCCAGACUCCUACGGGAGGCAGCAGUAGGGAAUCUUCGGCAAUGGACGAAAGUCUGACCGAGCAACGCCGCGUGAGUGAAGAAGGUUUUCGGAUCGUAAAACUCUGUUGUUAGAGAAGAACAAGGAUGAGAGUAAAAUGUUCAUCCCUUGACGGUAUCUAACCAGAAAGCCACGGCUAACUACGUGCCAGCCGCCGCCGUAA
rnacentral:rRNA from 1 species